GGGUUUGUGGCUCAGUGGUAGAGUGCUUGUCUAGCAUGUGUGAGGCCCUGGGUUCGAUUCUCAGCACCA
rnacentral:tRNA from 1 species